AUGAGGGUGGAGUGGAAAUAAGACAAGAAAUUGAACUGAAAGGAAGAAGUUGAAUCUCAGCUAAAUUACUGUAAGCUCUUCAGAGUGAGGUCAGAGCAAAGACUUGUGGGUCAGGCUUCUUUGUAUGUCUCCUUCCAAUGACUUUUCAUUCAGUCCAUCCACACUUACCAGGCACCCACUCUGACGACUGAUCCAAAAAGCCCAAGAGCACAACACUCCAGUGGAAGAAGCCAACACACACAAGACAAACUAAAUUGCAGGUGAAUGUCUGUCUCUUCAAGACCCCAGUCAAAUGUCUCACCUGUCAAGUCUUAACUGACUCAAAUUCAAGGGAACUUUGAAACUGGUAACAACUCACACCCUUUAUUCAGAUCUCCUCGGGAGAUAAAGGACUUCAUUUCCCCGUUCUCCCAAAGUAGGUCUCAAGUCUUUACUUUAUGAUACAUGUUGUGUGAAGGAGUUUCUU